CUGUUCAAAGGAUACUGAUUCUACGUUAUGUAAUCCUCCAUGGCAAUGAAAAGCAGUGAACUUGGUAUUGCUGAUGUGACAUGGAGAGGUCUGAUGGGUCUGCAGUGGUUGUGGGGCAACUGAUAUUGGGUCAUAUCCCACAGAUACCUGCAGACGGCAUUGGUGCCUUGGGGCAGUUUUGUUUGUCAGCCCAUCCUCGUGGUGAGCUACUGGAGGGCAGCGAGAGGCUGGUCUACCAGUGACUGCAUGUGUGUCAAACUCAUUCUGCUGGGGUCCCCACAAACUGUAUGGAGUGGAGCUGAUAGAGAAGUCUGCAGAAACCUCUUUCAUGGUGGCAGCCAGUGUGAUGAGGUGACAGUGGUUUGUGUGCUGGGCCAACACCAACUCACUGAGGAGAAGCGCUUGUCCCUAAGCUGGACGCUAUAG
rnacentral:lncRNA from 1 species